rnacentral:rRNA from 1 species
UAAGUAAGCGGAGGACAAGAAACUAAACAGGAUCCCCAUAGUAAUGGCGAAUGAACCGGGAUAAACUCAGCAUGGAAAUUGGGGCCUUUGGCUUUGACUUGUAAUCUGGUGAGGCAUUGCCAACAGAGGCGCAUAUGUAAGUCUCUUGGAAAAGAGCAUCAACGAAGGUGAGAGUCCUGAUUGUCAUGUGCAGCCCCCCUGUGCACGGUGUGCCUUCUAAGAGUCACGUUCCUUGGGAUUGGAGCGCAAAUUGGGUGGUAACUUUCAUCUGAAGUUAAACAAUGGUUUGGGACCGAUAGGAAACAAGUACCAUGAGGGAAAGGUGAAAAGGACUUUGGAAAGAGAGUUAAAAGUGCCUGAAAUUGCUGAAGGGGAAGCGAAUGGAACCAGUGGUGCUGGGUGAGAUUGUCACAUGCUGCAAGGAUUGGUUGCUGCCACAACGCAAGUGUGCUGGCAAUUUGUGAACUGCUAGUGUGUGGUGUGUCUUACCUAGUGGGUCAUUGUGGGUUUAUGCAUUAAGAUAAAUCAAAGCAAGCGGGAGCAAGUUUACGAGUUUGUGAAUGUGUGUUGUUAUGCUUGUGCGUAAGCUUUAGUGUUUGUCUGGCUGCAGGGCUGUCCAUCCUCAAGCUUUGCUGUGGUUGCUGAUGAGCAUAACCUUCUGCACAGAUCUUGACGAAAUGGUUUCAUUCGACCCG